UUUACCUACGGGAGGCAGCAGUGGGGGAUAUUGCACAAUGGGGGAAACCCUGAUGCAGCGACGCCGCGUGGGUGAAGAAGCGCCUCGGCGCGUAAAACCCUGUCAGCAGGGAAGAAAAUGACGGUACCUGAAGAAGAAGCCCCGGCUAACUACGUGCCAGCAGCCGCGGUAAUACGUAGGGGGCAAGCGUUAUCCGGAUUUACUGGGUGAAAAGGGAGCGCAGACGGCGAUGCAAGCCAGGAGUGAAAGCGCGGGGCCCAACCCCGGGACAGCUCUUGGAACUGCGCGGCUAGAGUGCAGGAGGG
rnacentral:rRNA from 1 species